CACGACGGUCCUCGGAAGUCUUUCUCGUCGCACUAUGGAUGGUCCAGAUGCAGAUUUUGUCCAAAAUGAGUAAUGUAGCACUGUGUGGAUUUUACACUCUCACCUGUGACCAGCUCCCCUCCUCUGACGCCGAUUUCUGCAGAAGCACAAGAAACUUUCCCACCGCAAUAUCCUGACCUAGAAGCUCAGGAUCGGAUACAUUCCCUACUGAUGGAGAAGAUCCAUUAACCAAUCAUUUGAUAAACUGCCCCAGUCUGGCCUUCUCUUUCUUCCCAAACAGACGUCCGAUGGAGGAUUUGAUGCCCUUCU